rnacentral:rRNA from 1 species
UGGGGAAUCUUGCGCAAUGGGCGAAAGCCUGACGCAGCGACGCCGCGUGAGUGAUGAAGGCCUUCGGGUUGUAAAGCUCUGUGGAGAGGGACGAAUAAGUGCAGGCUAACACCCCGCAUGAUGACGGUACCUCCUUAGCAAGCACCGGCUAACUCUGUGCCAGCAGCCGCGGUAAGACAGAGGGUGCAAACGUUGUUCGGAAUUACUGGGCGUAAAGCGUGUGUAGGCGGCCAUGUAAGUCGGAUGUGAAAGCCCCGGGCUUAACCCGGGAAGUGCAUUCGAUACUGCGUGGCUUGAGUAUCGGAGAGGUUGGUGGAAUUCUCGGUGUAGAGGUGAAAUUCGUAGAUAUCGAGAGGAACACCGGUGGCGAAGGCGGCCAACUGGACGAAUACUGACGCUGAGACACGAAAGCGUGGGGAGCAAACAGGAUUAGAUACCCCCGUAGUCC